rnacentral:rRNA from 1 species
GGCGAGAGACCGAUAGCGAACAAGUACCGUGAGGGAAAGAUGAAAAGAACUUUGAAAAGAGAGUUAAACAGUACGUGAAAUUGUUGAAAGGGAAACGAUUGAAGCCAGUCGUACCUUCGGGUAAUCAGCCUUUUGGGUGUGAUUUUGUGGAGUGUGAAGAGUUAAACGCCUUCAUGCCUGCAUAUUCGUGCACUUUGGGUGUACUUGCCCGUGUGGUUGGUUAACAUCAAUUUUGGUUAUCAUAAAAUGACUGGAGGAAUGUAGCUUCGAUCUCGUAUUGAAGUGUUAUAGCCUUCGGUAGAUGUGAUGAUCGAGAUUGAGGAUUGCAACGGAUACCCUUCGGGGCUACCUGUCUGGUCUCUGAUCGUUGCUCUGGUGCCGAAAGCUUGCUUACGGUUAUCAAAGUCGAUGGUCAAUAGGUUAGAACGGGUUAAA